rnacentral:piRNA from 1 species
UGGGUAUAUAAACUACAUUUAAGGAUUGGU